UACGUAGGGGGCAAGCGUUGUCCGGAUUUACUGGGCGUAAAGCGCGCGUAGGCGGGAGGUGAAGUCCGGUGGGAAAGCCCACGGCUCAACCGUGGAAGAACGCUGGAAACUCACCUUCUUGAGGGCGGCAGAGGGAAGUGGAAUUGCUGGUGUAACGGUGAAAUGCGUAGAUAUCAGCAGGAACACCCGUGGCGAAGGCGGCUUCCUGGGCCGCCCCUGACGCUGAGGAGCGAAAGCGUGGGGAGCGAACAGG
rnacentral:rRNA from 1 species